UACGAAGGGUGCAAACGUUGCUCGGAAUUAUUGGGCGUAAAGCGCACGUAGGCGGCUUGGCAAGUCGGAUGUGAAAUCCCUCGGCUCAACCAAGGAAGUGCAUCCGAAACUGCUGAGCUUGAGUACUUAAGAGGAUCGCGGAAUUCCCGGUGUAGAGGUGAAAUGUGUUGAUAUUGGAAGGAACACCGGAGGCGAAAGCGGUGUACUGGGGCUGGUCUGACGCUGAGGCACGAAAGCCAGGGGAGCGAACGGG
rnacentral:rRNA from 1 species